rnacentral:rRNA from 1 species
GAGUUUGAUCAUGGCUCAGGACAAACGCUGGCGGCGUGCAUAACACAUGCAAGUCGAACGAAAUCUACAUGAUUUAGUGGCGAACGGGUGAGUAACACGUGAGAAACCUGCCUUACACAGAGGGAUAGCCGUUGGAAACGACGAUUAAUACCUCAUGACACCGUGACAUCGCAUGAUGAUGCGGUCAAAGAUUUAUCGGUGUAAGAUGGUCUCGCGCCUGAUUAGCUGGUUGGUGGGGUAACGGCCUACCAAGGCGACGAUCAGUAGCCGAUCUGAGAGGGUGGACGGCCACAUUGGGACUGAGACACGGCCCAAACUCCUACGGGAGGCAGCAGUGGGGAAUUUUGCACAAUGGGGGAAACCCUGAUGCAGCGACGCCGCGUGAACGAAGAAGGCCUUCGGGUUGUAAAGUUCUGUCCUUGGUGAAGAUAAUGACAUAACCAAGAAGAAGCCCCG